rnacentral:tRNA from 1 species
UCCCAAUUGGCUCAGUCGGUACAGAAUCUGCCUGCAACGCAGGAGACCAGGGUUCAGUCCCUGGGUGGGGA